AUGGGGGUUACGGCUGCUACUCUUGGCUCCUUACUCCAUUGUCCCAACCUGAUUCUCCUGCUGAACACAGUUAUAAUCAUGCACAUAAGGCUACACGGAAUGUGAUAGAAAGAUGUUUUGGGGUGCUGAAGUCACGUUUUCGGUGUCUUGAUAAAUCUGGUGGCCUUUUGUUGUAUAGUCCCUCAAAGGUGACUAGGAUUGUGUUCUGCUGCUGUUUUCUCCAUAAUCUGUGUUUAAGCCAACAUCUUGCACAUGGUGAGGGAGAAAGCAGCCAGCAAGCAGAGGAGUUAGAACCAUCUGGUGACAGUGUGAGUACAAAUGUAGGGAGGCAGGUACGGCAAGAAGUGAUCCUGCGAUAUUUUACAGAUAACUGAGGUGAUCUGGGCUCAUCACUCUGCGAACUCGCCAAUAGUAACAGUGGUGGCUGGGAUGACACUGCCGAUAGCCUUCGCCUGGGUGGGGAUGAUGGAGGUGCAGAAUCAGACCCAAGACGCCGAGUCUUAGUUGGCCUCCUGGAAUAUGUGACUACAGUGAAGACUUACCUGCAAUACCGGCAUCAUCACGACUGGUCUGAGGCCUGUCUGGGCGGCUGGUCUGUGUGACUGUGAAAAAAGGAACACCAACAUUAUUACCUUUUUUUUUAUAAAAAGGACCCAGUGAAAACCAUUGAUGUACU